rnacentral:rRNA from 1 species
UACGGAGGAUGCAAGCGUUAUCCGGAAUGAUUGGGCGUAAAGCGUCCGCAGGUGGCUGUGUAAGUCUGCUGUCAAAGAGCGAAGCUCAACUUCGUAAAGGCAGUGGAAACUACACGGCUAGAGUGCGUUCGGGGCAGAGGGAAUUCCUGGUGUAGCGGUGAAAUGCGUAGAGAUCAGGAAGAACACCGGUGGCGAAGGCGCUCUGAUAGGCCGCAACUGACACUGAGGGACGAAAGCUAGGGGAGCGAAUGGG